UCCCUGAUGGUCCAGUGGUUAGGACUCUGUACUUGCACUGCUGAGGGCACGGGUUCGAUCCCUAGUCAGGGAA